rnacentral:lncRNA from 1 species
CUAGUUUCUCUAAAAUAAAAAAGUGUUUUAUUCACCAUUAUAUACACAAGGCAAUAACUGGCUAUACUGGUACAACAUACAAUAAAUACAUUGUUUUAUGUACAUCACUUGUUAGUACGAAAUGUUACAACCUUUACCUUAAUAGUUUCACCAGUAUCUGAUUUAUUCAUGAUUAGUUAUCUAACCUUUGCAUAACUUUUUACAUAAAAUUCAAAUAUAUGAUUAUGAAAACGUUUUGAAAAUAUAAAAUGCAUAGUCAGGAACCCACAA